AAGUUAGGUGAAUAAAUAUGAACUUAAAUGUAUUACAGAUAAUAAAGGGUAAAAUUGAGUUAUUAUUAUGUAAAUGAAUAAGUUUUAAAUUGAAGCUAAAAAAAUUUAGGUAAAAACUAGGAUUAGAUACCCUAUUAUUUAAAAUUUAAAUUAUUAAUGAAGGCCUGGUUAGUAAUAGUUAUUUACUUAAAAACUAAAAGAUUUGGCGGUAAUUUAAUCUUUCCAGAGGAACUUGUUUUUUAAUCGAUAAACCACGAAAUAUCUUACUUGCUUUAGUUGAAAUUAGUUUGUAUACCUUCAUUAUCAGGUAAUUUUAAGAGAAUAAAUUAUUAAAAUUGCGUUUGCAAAAAAAUUAGAUCAUGGUGCAGCUUAUAGGCAAGUUUAAAUGAGUUACAAUAAAUUAUUUUAGACGGAUUUGUAGUUUAAACAUUACAAUCAAGGUGGAUUUGGUUGUAUUAUAAGUUUAAUAAGCUUGUAAGAUAUAGGCUCUAAAUUAUGUACAUAUCGCCCGUCGCUUUCAUUUAUAAGU
rnacentral:rRNA from 1 species